CCUACGGGAGGCAGCAGUGGGGGAUAUUGCACAAUGGGGGAAACCCUGAUGCAGCGACGCCGCGUGAGUGAAGAAGUAUUUCGGUAUGUAAAGCUCUAUCAGCAGGGAAGAAAAAAGACGGUACCUGACUAAGAAGCCCCGGCUAACUACGUGCCAGCAGCCGCGGUAAUACGUAGGGGGCAAGCGUUAUCCGGAUUUACUGGGUGUAAAGGGAGCGUAGACGGCAAUACAAGUCGGAAGUGAAAUACCCGGGCUCAACCUGGGAACUGCUUUGGAAACUGUAUGGCUGGAGUGCUGGAGAGGUAAGCGGAAUUCCUAGUGUAGCGGUGAAAUGCGUAGAUAUUAGGAGGAACACCAGUGGCGAAGGCGGCUUACUGGACAGUAACUGACGUUGAGGCUCGAAAGCGUGGGGAGCAAACAGGAUUAGAUACCCCAGUAGUC
rnacentral:rRNA from 1 species